GCACCCAAGAUUUCUAUCGGAGAACAUAAUAUGAAAACGUGCAAUCAACCCUAUGCCUAGAUCCCCAAGGUCAUUGGAAUCCGCAAGUUGAUGCCACAACAUAUAUCUAGUGAAUCACUUGAAUACCCCAACGUCACUACGGGUAUCCGCAUGCAAGACAUACAUCAUGUGCUCUCAAACCUAAAUAUUGAAUCCAACAUAACGAGAUCUUAGAGUGAAAGAUUCAAUUCAUCACAACAAUAGCAUGGGACAAACACCAUAUGAUCCAACUAUAUUAACAAGGCCCGUGAUAUAUCAAGAUCAUGACAUAUCAAGAGCACAAGAGAGGGAGAUUAAACACAUAGCUACUGGUACAAACCUUCAGCCCCGAGGGUGGACUACUCCCUCCUCGUCAUGGCCUCCGCCGGAAUGAUGAAGAUGGCCACUGGAGAUGAUCUCCCCCUCCGACAGGGUGCCGGAAUGGGAUCAUGAUUGGUUUUUUGUGGCUACACACGCUUGCGGGGGCGGAACUUCUCAUCUAGGGUUAUUUCUGGAGGUUUCUCUAUUUGUAGGAAUUUCUCAUGUUGGAAUCACGCUAAGAUGGGCCACGAGGUGCCGAGUAGGUACCAGGCCGCGCUAGGGGGAGGGGGGCAGGCGCGCCCUGGUGCCUAGUGGGCAGCCUGGUCUCCUCUGGUUGGCCUCCUUGGUCCUCUGGAUGCCUUCUAGGCAGAAAAAAUUCUCCAAAAAGUCACAUGGCAUUUGGACUCCGUCUGAUAUUGAUUUUCUGCGAAGUACAAAAAACAAGCAAAAAACAUCAACUCGCACUGGGCACUAUGUCAAUAGGUUGGUCCCAGGUAAUGAUAUAAAGUUGCUAUAAAAUGAUCAUAAAACAUCCAAGAAUGAUAAUAUAACAGCAUGGAACAAUCAAAAGUUAUAGAUACGUUGGACACAUAUCAGCAUCCCCAAGCUUAAUUCCUGCUCGUCCUCGAGUAGGUAAAUGAUAAAAAUUGAAUUUUUUGAUGUGGAAUGCUGCCUAACAUGUUCAUCAUAUUCUUUUCUUUUUAUCAUGGACAUAUGGACUUGUAGAUGAUGCGAAAAAAUAGUCUAUAAAUUGACAUGAAAACUUCAAUACUCAAGCAUAUCAACAAGCAAGCAAGUCUUUUAGAGUAUCAACACUAAAGAAUGUUAUCCCCAGCUCAUCAUGCUCAAUCAUUGAUCCAUUCAUGCAACACACCCACAUAUUAGCUACAUCCAAUGCUCAAGUAUGAUAAUAGUGUUCCGUAGUUGGUACUUUAUAAGAUAAGAUGGAGACUCAAAUAAAAAAUAAAAAUGCAUAAAAGUAAAUAGAUAGACCCUUCGCAGAGGGGAACAGAGAUUUGUAGAGGUACCAGAGCUCAAACCUUAAAUUGGGAGAUACAAUUAUUUUCGGUGGCAUGCUUUUCCUGUCAACAUAAACGACUAAGAGUUCCCAAUAUCUUCCAUUCUAAACAAAUCAUUGACGGUUCCAAACUGAAAAUAAAAUUUAUUCAUUUUCCACCAUUCUUUCACACUCCACGGCUAGCCCCAUCCAUGGGUACCGUCCAUACCAACACUUUCCAAGGAAUUUAUUAUUUCACAACAUAAAAUAAAUUUUAUUUACAUUUCAGGACUCGGCAUCCCUAUUGCCGGCAUACUCUCAUGCAAUGACAAGUGAAUAAACACUCAUCUUCAGAAUAACCUAUUUAACAUGGAAGAUAUCCGCCACCCUUGCCGCUUCAUGAGCGGUACAAACAAAUACCGCAUAUAUGUAGGUACGGUGGACUCAUUUGACACAACUUUGGGUUUAGGAUUUGGAUGCACAAGAAUCAUUCCCUCUUAGUACAAGUGAAGGCUAUCAAAUAGAUAGAGAAGCGCCCAACCAAGGAACGAAAAUCAUCAUAAGCGAACAUUAAACAUAACUAACACCGAAUAAUUCAACACAGGUAGGAUGCAAUUUCAUAGCAUAAUUAUUGACUUCAUGUGCAUGCAUAGGGAAUCACAAACCUUAACACCAAUAAUCUUACUACAGCUAAUUACACAUCAACACAACUCACAUAUCACAACCUUUAUAUCGCAAAACUAUUGCAAAAAAACAAGUUUAACAUCCAAUGAUCGAUAUGAAAGUUUAUAUUACAUCCUUCUUGGAUAUUCAUCAUAUUAGGACCAAAUUAUUUUAAAGAAUAUUGACAUUGCUAAUAACAAGCUCUCAAAAAAAUAUAAGUGAAGAACAGGAGCACAAGUUUCUUUAAAAUAACAACACCAUCGUGCUCAAAAAGAUAUAAGUGGAGUACUAGAGCAAUUCAAUCAAACUACUCUCAAAAGAUAUAAGUAAAGAUCAAUGAGUGAUCAAACAGUUAAGUAGAUAUGUGAGGACUCUCUCUCAAUAAAGAUUUUUAGAUCUGAUAUUUAUUUCAAACAGAAAAUAAAACAAAAGACACUCCAAGAAUAGCACAUAUCAUGCAAACAAAUACAAAUUUAGGCUCAACAUAGGCUAACCGAUAGUUGUUGAUGAAGAAAGGAGGGAUGUGUAGCAUCACCAAGCUUAGAUUCUUGAGAAUUAUUGAAAUAUUUACUUGCGGUGCCUUGGGAAUCCCCAAGCUUGAGAUUUUGUAUCUCGCUCAAUCCUCUCAUAUCCCGGUUCCACCUAAGUCUCAAAAACUUCAUCCACACAAUAGAUGAAAAGAACUCGUGAGAUAGGUUAGUGCACAUAAGCAUAAAUCAACUCUUUAUGUACUUCCAAGACAAGUUGCAUAAUAAUUUUCAAACAUUAGGUAUUGUAUACCAUCAUUUCCACAAUUUAUAUCCACUAAUAUAAGCCAUGAAAACUCUAGGAUAAGUAGAUAACAAAACUAUGACAGCAAUCUGUCCAAACAGAACAGUCUGUAGAAACAUAUAUACAAAGUGUACUUAUAUAUAUCCAAAAAUUGUGAAACUUUAGGAAGUGAUAAAAAAACUAUAUUACAUUACUGUGUAAAAAAAUCAGAAACUUUCCACAUACCAGUAAAAUCGGAUAAUUCAAAUACUACAGAAAAAGUUUCUGUUUUUGUGCAGCACACAUCACACAUGUAAUUCAAGCAUUCUAAAGGCAACUCUUGGAACUUUUUAUUUCAAAAAAGAUAAUAAAGAACAUAUAAAAUAGGACAACAAAAUAAAAUGACACUCCAAGCAAAACACAUAUCAUGUGAUGAACAAAAAUAUAGCUCCAAGUAAGAUAUACCGAUAAUGUUGGAGGUGAAAGAGGGGAUGCCUUCCGGGGCAUCCCAGGCUUAGAAACUUGAGUCUUCCUUGGAUAGUACCUUGGGGUGACUUGGGCAUCCCCAAGCUUAGGUUCUUUCUGCUCCUAAUUCUCCUCAUAUUGGUAUCUCACCCAAAUCUUGAAAACUUCAAUCACACAAAACUUAACGGAAGUUCGUGAGAUGGGUUAGUAUGAUAAAUAUAGAUCAUUCACUUUAUUAAUGCCAGGACAAGAUUCAUAAUUGUUAUCACAUGAUUCCUACUGUAUUAUAUCAUUCCCAUAAUUUAUAUGACUCAAUAUAAGCUAUGGAAACAAUAAAAGAAGCAAACUAUAUGCAUGCAAAACAGAAUUUGCCAAAAACAUAACAAUCUGUGAAGAUCUGAAUGAAAACCAUACUUACCUGACUCUAGCAAUUCUGAAUAAUUAGGAAAAUGCAUAGAAUUUGCAUACCAAAGCUGUGUAAAAAUUGCAUAAUUUUUUUAUGCUGCAGUAAAAUCAUAGAAAUUCUGCACUGGACGUAAAAGUUCUUGUUUUUGCACAGACUCAAACAAGCAAUUAUCCACACUAUCCCAAAGGCUUCACUUGGCAAUUUAUCGAAAUAAAAUAUAUAAAACAAGAUUAAUACAGUAUAUUAAUCAUAUUAAACUCAAAAACAGUAAGUUUAAUUAUUGGGUUGUCUCCCAACAAGCACUCUUCUUUAAUGCCUUUUAGCUAGGCAUGAUGAUUUCAAUGAUGCUCACAUAAAAAUAGUAACUGAAACAUGCAACAGAGCAUCAUGAAGCACAUGACAAGCACAUUUAAGUCUAACCCACUUCCUAUGCGUAGGGAGUUUGCAAGAAAACAAUUUAUUGUAGCAAGAAUUAACUUUCAUAGGAAGGCAAAAUAAGCAUAACUUCAAAAUCUUGAACACAUACACAGGACACUUGGUAUUAUUGCAGUUCCUAAAAGCAUAUGUUCCUCCCUCAUAAUAAUUUUCAGUACAAUCAUGA
rnacentral:lncRNA from 1 species